CACGUAGGGCGCAAGCGUUGUCCGGAAUUAUUGGGCGUAAAGAGCUCGUGGGUGGUUUGUUACGUCUGCUGUGAAAACCUAGGGCUUAACCCUGGGCUUGCAGUGGAUACGGGCAGACUAGAGGUAGGUAGGGGAGAAUGGAAUUCCUGGUGUAGCGGUGAAAUGCGCAGAUAUCAGGAGGAACACCGGUGGCGAAGGCGGUUCUCUGGGCCUUACCUGACACUGAGGAGCGAAAGCGUGGGGAGCGAACAGG
rnacentral:rRNA from 1 species